rnacentral:rRNA from 1 species
AGUAACGCGUGAGGAACCUGCCUCAAAGAGGGGGACAACAGUUGGAAACGACUGCUAAUACCGCAUAAGCCCACAGCUCGGCAUCGAGCAGAGGGAAAAGGAGUGAUCCGCUUUGAGAUGGCCUCGCGUCCGAUUAGCUAGUUGGUGAGGUAAUGGCCCACCAAGGCGACGAUCGGUAGCCGGACUGGGAGGUUGAACGGCCACAUUGGGACUGAGACACGGUCCAG